UUUUUAGUUGGUAGAUCAUGGAGCUUUUAUUUUCCAGAUGUUUUAGCUAAGUCCCAAAACUGUGAGGCACACUUUAUCUAAUUGUCCAAAUGAAACUUGUGCUGUCCUUUUUUUCCUGGCCUUUCCUAGUUCUGUUCACCUUUAUUAAUACAUAUUAUUACUCAGUCUAGUUCAUUCUCAGAACCUGUGAACUUUCCCUGUAUUAAGAGGUCACACUGCUAACCUCAAGACUGGUACUUUAAUCUUGAUAUGGCAAAUUUCUCAUGGCAAAACUAAUCUGAGUAGAAGCAUGGAACAAAGUCCAUCUGUAACUAACUGAUAAUUAUUCUAAUUGCCUAUCUUCUGGCACAGAUUCAUCUGACUACAGUGUUUAUGCAGGUAGGCUAGACAUGAUUUUGUCAGUAAUCAGGAGACCCUGUUUCUGCCAUGGCCCCGUCACUGCUGGUGGGGGUGAAGUGCUUGAGGGUGUCUGCUGCUCUGGUUUUAAACUUACCAUUUUGCAGAGGUGGGCUACAGAGUGACUUGCCCUGCAAUUAUGCAGGCAGAUCAAAGGAAAGUGGUAACCUCUUAAUUAGAGCUGCACAUACACUGUGGUGCAGCUAUGGUGGUAGAAAAACCAUGUCAUACAGUGCUUCCACCAGGGGAAAGCAGCAGCAACCAUGAGGACUGUGGCCCCAUGUACAAAUGCACUGAACACACACUUUUACAGGAGAAGCAUCCAUUCCUCAGAGCCUGCAGCCAUUCCACACCAUGUAUUCACUCCUCAUUUGGUGUCACCGAUGAAUUAUGGACAAAGAAGGAUAUAAGACAGAAGCAAAACUAACCACAAAAUGUCAGCUUUCUACCUUUAAAAAUAAUUUCAAUUAAAAGUUGCCUAACUUAAAUAAAUUUGUAAAAUGCUAUAUUAUAUAUAUAGGAAGAGCACAUCAAUAUGACAAAGUACCACUGUUUGGAACCAAUAAUAACACAUUUUCUAUGAAGAUCUAAAAGCAGCACAUUUCAGAGCAACAAAACUUCAGUACAUCUGUACAAAAGCAGGAAAAUUAGUAAGGCACUUCCUGUAGGGCAGUCACAAUAAAAGCACCAGUAUCCUUUGAGGCAAUACAAUAGUAAUGAAAAUGUUGAUUUUAAACAGACUUACAAUGCAAGACAAAGGCCUGGAUGCUCCUGGGAGCAGCUUGUAAUAACACUGGUCUAAGCCAGAACAAAAACACAGCAGCAUAGUACAAGACUUUGUAUUUUACUUUUUUGCCCACAUUAUUAAGGAAAACAAAGAAAACCAGAUUAAGAGCAGGGCAACAGAAGAACCUUCUGCAGUCAUCAGUCUUACUUGUCACAAGCUCUUUACCAAACCAGUAAUGCUUACUCCGAACAGGCACAGCCCUUGUGACUGGGAACAUAUCCAGGCUUGGCUAUGCCCCUUACUAGAGCAGUCUGACACAUCUGCUCAGCAGCAACUGGGAGCCAGCAGCCCACCACGGAUGUUGCUCUCCAACAUGACCAGAAACACUGGGGAGAACAGCUUUCUCUACAGUAAGCCCAGCAGGCAGUGGCUGAAAAACUGGGUAACUACAGAGCUUAGGUGCUGUGGCAGUCAUCUUUAAUGGUACUUUCCCUAAGAAUUCUUGUUUUCAGUAUGAUUUUGGAGUUCAGGGAGAUUAUACUUAUUGGAACUGUUUCAAAAGGUAAAAAUCUGACUUGGCAAAGAAGUAAAAUACCUGUAACUCAAAAAGUUAGGCAGCUUAGAAAAUGGGCAAGUUCUUCACAUUCUGAUGCAUCCUUUUGCCAGCCCUCUCUUUUUCUAACAAACAUCUACUAAUUUAUAUCGUCUCUACAUGAGAAAAUCUAUAGGUUUUUUGUAAUUUAGGACUUACUACAGUAGCAUACUAACUAUAUGUGAAGGCACAUGUUAAAAAUUCUUUAGAUGUGCUGUGCCCUAGCAGUCUUCAAACUUUCAGUAAAUGUUUGUUCCAGUGAAACAAAUACAUUAAUUUCCAGUAGUGAAUAUUUCUCUAUACUACAGCCCAUAGGUCCACGUUGCUAUACCCACAUACACACUGCACUCCUGUCCUUUAUAAAAUAAGCUUUAAUUAUUUUUUAGCCCUUCUCUCAGUUAGAAAAACCCCUCUUGAAAAAUAAUUUAAAGUUAUGCUUAUUGACUAUUCUGGAUUAACUACUCACUGACAUAACUGUCACUCCUCAGAGUUUCUCCCACCUUUAGUUCUUCCACUCUAGCCCAAGGCAUACUACCAUUCUCUCUCUCAUAUUGACUGAAAAAAAAAA
ensembl:lncRNA